rnacentral:ncRNA from 1 species
GCCAAACCCAUCGCGAGGUGGGGACGGAAAGCUUCGGGUCUUCUAAAAAUAAAAAGCGAAGAUAGCCGGGUUGC